UACGUAGGGUGCGAGCGUUGUCCGGAAUUAUUGGGCGUAAAGAGCUCGUAGGCGGUCUGUCGCGUCGAUCGUGAAAACUUGGGGCUUAACCCUGAGCUUGCGGUCGAUACGGGCAUGACUGGAGUUCGGCAGGGGAGACUGGAAUUCCUGGUGUAGCGGUGAAAUGCGCAGAUAUCAGGAGGAACACCGGUGGCGAAGGCGGGUCUCUGGGCCGUAACUGACGCUGAGACACGAAAGCGUGGGUAGCAAACAGG
rnacentral:rRNA from 1 species